rnacentral:lncRNA from 1 species
GGGUAAGGUUAGAGAUUAUGAGAAAAAGAUGAGGGGAUGAAAAGAUGAGGGGACAGAUGUGAUCGAGAGUAGGGUGGCUUAUGAUGAAUUGACUUGAGGGGACAAGGACAAGGACAGAUCCUAGAAUUGUGAUCUUCCCACUGAGCAGCAAAUGACCGACAAGAACACAAGGGAAGAGGAGCCCUCUCAGCUUUGGCUGUGCGUCCCGUUGGAUGUUAGAGAUGCAGAUCUGAAGAGAAAGAUGCCAGAGGAAGAAAGAAGUGGCGCCCGUGUGCUAUCGGAUGAGAGUGGAGAGGCAGCAGAUUGGGGGAAGGAGGAGACAUAGCCCACACCCCAGUUAGCCCCCACUGUCCGUGGUGGGGAGCUCUUGCACCAAGCUUGGGAGGUGGGCUGCAUUUGCUCAGGCAUGUGGUGGUGUUGCUUAAACAUCAGAUGAUAAGUGCGGAGGCACGGUCGUCCCAGAUCUGAAGAGGGCCAGGCCCAGCCUUGGCUCCAGCACACUCGAACAGAGCAGCCAUGUGUACAGCAGCCAUGUGUUCCUCCAGGGCUGUCAUUUCAGUGCCUGUCUGGUCCAAGUCAAGGUCUUGUUUCUUCCCAUGGUGGGAGCUCCAGAGACUGGACAACAACCAUGGGCUGUUGCUUAAACAUCAGAGCCUUGAGCCUUGAGCCUGGCCUGCAAGCCUGUCCGUCUAGGUGGAAUCAUGACAACUGAUUCUGACUGAUGGAGGAACACAUGGGCCAGCAGUGGGCUGUGAGGCCCUGGGGAGG